UACAGAGGGGGCAAGCGUUGUUCGGAAUUACUGGGCAUAAAGGGCGCGUAGGCGGCCUUCUAAGUCGAACGUGAAAUCCCCAGGCUUAACCUGGGAACUGCGUCGGAUACUGGAUGGCUUGAAUUCGGGAGAGGGAUGCAGAAUUCCAGGUGUAGCGGUGAAAUGCGUAGAUAUCUGGAGGAAUACCGGUGGCGAAGGCGGCAUCCUGGACCGACAUUGACGCUGAGGAGCGAAAGCUAGGGGAGCAAAUGGG
rnacentral:rRNA from 1 species